rnacentral:tRNA from 1 species
GCCUCAGUAGCUCAGUGGAUAGCAGCAUCCGCCUUCUAAGCGGAGGGUCAUAGGUUCGAAUCCUAUCUGAGGCG